AGCAGUUAGUGGAGCAGUCCAGCAUCCAGGCUUUGGGGCUCCAGCAAGGCUCUCCUCACUCGACAUCUGGGAGAAUUGACACAACGUUGAGAGCAAAUGGAUUCUACUGGUCUCAAGCUAAGAUGUAUGCAGAAGAAGGAAAGGAGUCAUCAGAUGAGGUUACAAUUUCAUAUUUCUAAUUCCUCUCAUUACCCCAUGCUCUACUGCUGUGGCUCAUAUGGAGAAGAGGAACCCUGAUGAGUCUCAUCGCUAUAACUGAUGACACGCUGCUGUUUUUUACAGCCAUGAAAACUGAACGACUUCUAGUCCCAAGGGUUUGCACAGAGAGA